CCUACGGGUGGCAGCAGUGAGGAAUAUUGGUCAAUGGCCGGAAGGCUGAACAAGCCAAGCCGCGUGAAGGACGAAGGUGCCACGCAUUGUAAACUUCUUUUGUCAAGGGACAAAAUCAGGCUCGAGAGCCUGACCGAGGGUACUGGAAGAAAAAGCCUCGGAUAACUCCGUGCCAGCAGCCGCGGUAAUACGGAGGAUGCGAGCGGUAUCCGGAUUUAUUGGGUAUAAAGGGUGCGUAGGCGGGCUGUUAAGUCAGCGGUAAAAUCCCGGGGCUCAACCCCGGGGAGCCGUUGAAACUGGCGGUCUUGAGAUGUCGAGAGGUAUGCGGAAUGCGCAGUGUAGCGGUGAAAUGCUUAGAUAUUGCGCAGAACUCCGAUUGCGAAGGCAGCAUACCGGCGGCGAUCUGACGCUGAGGCACGAAAGCGUGGGUAUCGAACAGGAUUAGAUACCCGAGUAGUC
rnacentral:rRNA from 1 species